UACAGAGGUCUCAAGCGUUGUUCGGAUUCAUUGGGCGUAAAGGGUGCGUAGGUGGCGCCGUAAGUCGGGUGUGAAACCUCGAGGCUUAACCUCGACCUGCAUUCGAGUACUGGGCGGCUAGAGGUCUGGUAGGGGGAUCGUGGAAUUCCUGGAUGUAGCGGUGGAAGUGACGCAGAUAUCAGGAGGAACACCGGUGGCGAAGGCGGGAUCCUGGGCCAGUACUGACGCUGAGGAGCGAAAGCGUGGGGAGCAAACAGG
rnacentral:rRNA from 1 species